rnacentral:rRNA from 1 species
CAGCAGCCGCGGGAACACGGAGGAUCCAAGCGUUAUCCGGAAUCAUUGGGUUUAAAGGGUCCGUAGGCGGUUUAGUAAGUCAGUGGUGAAAGCCCAUCGCUCAACGGUGGAACGGCCAUUGAUACUGCUGAACUUGAAUUAUUAGGAAGUAACUAGAAUAUGUAGUGUAGCGGUGAAAUGCUUAGAGAUUACAUGGAAUACCAAUUGCGAAGGCAGGUUACUACUAAUUGAUUGACGCUGAUGGACGAAAGCGUGGGGAGCGAACAGGAUUAGAUACCCCAGUAGUCCCUGUCUCUUAUAC